CACAAAUCCACCAAGCCACUUUAUAUUUUACACUAAGCCUUGGUCGAAUAACUUCACAUUCAAUCUCGCUCAAAUUAAUUCAUAUUCGACCUCGCUCGAAUUACUUCACAUUCGAUCUCGCUAGAAUUAUGUGAUUUUCGACCUCAUCAAACCUCGACCUCAUCCGAGAUAAUUAAUACUCGACCUUAAGUCAGUCUAUGUUCGUCUCAACCAAUAUCAAACAUAUACAAACACCGAAAAUCAUGGGCUUCCCCACAUAGCAAAAAAAAGAGGAAAAGAGAAUGAGAAUCCAUAAAUACAUAGAAAAAAGGGAAUUGUUCCAUUUCAUUAUCAGAUUACAAUACUUUAUACAAAGGGCUUAGGAUGCCCUCACAAAAAUAGCAAAGCAAAAAAAACUAAGUAAAACAGCUUCACACUACAUCAUCCCCGUCAGCAUACUAAUCAUCAUACCAAGGAUCAGAGGCAAGCCUAUCUGCUGCAUCUUAUCCUCAUCCCCGCUAGGCGUACUGGGGUCGUAACCACAAAUUUCACGGGUUGCACAUGCCUUGACACGGAUGCCCUCAAGCUCUAUUUCAGAAACUUUCCGGGAAACCUUCAGAGAUUUAUACACGUCAAGUUGAGCCUCAGCAUGGACCCACAUCUCAUACAACUCCUACGGUUCAACGAGAUUGGCAGAAGUAUGAGAUUUAGAUGCUUGUGAAAUCAAGUCUCCUCGGCCCUUAAGAUAACGACUUUCUCGUUUAACCCGGACAAUUCUGCCUCCAAACCUUGGAUCCGUUCUUCCAACCUAGCCACCUUAAGCUCCGACUUCUCCUCCUCAUUAACUCGCUCGGACGUGCAAACACGGAGGGCAUCUUCUAGGGCUGCCGCUUUUACCAUAACAUCCAUUCUGCCUUUCUCGGCCCAACUCGAUUCUUCAACCUUGGCACUCAGCUCACCCAUCAGUUCGAAAACCCUUUCCUCCCACUACCUGAGUUGAGGCGUUAAGGAUGCUACCUGCGUCAGAAGGUCGGCGUUCUCAGCCAUCGC
rnacentral:lncRNA from 1 species